GACAGAGGGUGCAAACGUUGUUCGGAAUUACUGGGCGUAAAGCGUGUGUAGGCGGCUUCGCAAGUCGGAUGUGAAAGCCCCGGGCUCAACCCGGGAAGUGCACUCGAUACUGCGGGGCUAGAGUGUGGGAGAGGUUGGUGGAAUUCUCGGUGUAGAGGUGAAAUUCGUAGAUAUCGAGAGGAACACCGGCGGCGAAGGCGGCCAACUGGACCACUACUGACGCUGAGACACGAAAGCGUGGGGAGCAAACAGG
rnacentral:rRNA from 1 species